ACGGGUGAGUAACGCGUAAAGAACUUGCCCUUUAGACUGGGAUAACAGAGGGAAACUUCUGAUAAUACUGGAUAAGUUAGUAUAUCGCAUGAUAUGCAAAUGAAAGCUACGGCACUAAAGGAGAGCUUUGCGUCCUAUUAGCUAGUUGGUAAGGUAAGAGCUUACCAAGGCGAUGAUAGGUAGCCGGCCUGAGAGGGUGGACGGCCACAAGGGGACUGAGAUACGGCCCUUACUCCUACGGGAGGCAGCAGAC
rnacentral:rRNA from 1 species